GCCCGGGUGGUGAAAUUGGUAGACACAGGGGACUUAAAAUCCCCCGACCUUAACGGUCGUGCCGGUUCAAGUCCGGCCCCGGGCA
rnacentral:tRNA from 1 species